UUUUCCCUUUCUUGAUUGUCUCUCUUCUUAUCUUCUAUUUCUUGUUGUUCUUCAUUUCUUCUAGCCGGAGUUUCUUCUCUACUCGUCAUACAUCACGCAAGUAGGACACUCCUUGUUUUCAAGUGAAGUUUAGCAAAGAGCUGGUGUCAUCUUGUCUGAUAGUGAAGGAAAAAAAGAUCCAUCUUCUGAUAAAUGAUUUGUGUGCUUCCUUGCUUUUUUUU
rnacentral:lncRNA from 1 species